GACGAACGCUGGCGGCGUGCUUAACACAUGCAAGUCGAACGGAAAGGCCCUGCUUUUGUGGGGUGCUCGAGUGGCGAACGGGUGAGUAACACGUGAGUAACCUGCCCUUGACUUUGGGAUAACUUCAGGAAACUGGGGCUAAUACCGGAUAGGAGCUCCUGCUGCAUGGUGGGGGUUGGAAAGUUUCGGCGGUUGGGGAUGGACUCGCGGCUUAUCAGCUUGUUGGUGGGGUAGUGGCUUACCAAGGCUUUGACGGGUAGCCGGCCUGAGAGGGUGACCGGCCACAUUGGGACUGAGAUACGGCCCAGGCUCCUACGGGAGGCAGCAGUGGGGAAUAUUGCACAAUGGGCGGAAGCCUGAUGCAGCAACGCCGCGUGCGGGAUGACGGCCUUCGGGUUGUAAACCGCUUUCGCCUGUGACGAAGCGUGAGUGACGGUAAUGGGUAAAGAAGCACCGGCUAACUACGUGCCAGCAGCCGCGGUGAUACGUAGGGUGCGAGCGUUGUCCGGAUUUAUUGGGCGUAAAGGGCUCGUANGUGGUUGAUCGCGUCGGAAGUGUAAUCUUGGGGCUUAACCCUGAGCGUGCUUUCGAUACGGGUUGACUUGAGGAAGGUAGGGGAGAAUGGAAUUCCUGGUGGAGCGGUGGAAUGCGCAGAUAUCAGGAGGAACACCAGUGGCGAAGGCGGUUCUCUGGGCCUUUCCUGACGCUGAGGAGCGAAAGCGUGGGGAGCGAACAGGCUUAGAUACCCUGGUAGUCCACGCUGUAAACGGUGGGUACUAGGUGUGGGGUCCAUUCCACGGGUUCCGUGCCGUAGCUAGCGCUUUAAGUACCCCGCCUGGGGAGUACGGCCGCAAGGCUAAAACUCAAAGGAAUUGACGGGGCCCCGCACAAGCGGCGGAGCAUGCGGAUUAAUUCGAUGCAACGCGUAGAACCUUACCUGGGUUUGACAUGGAUCGGGAGUGCUCAGAGAUGGGUGUGCCUCUUUUGGGGUCGGUUCACAGGUGGUGCAUGGCUGUCGUCAGCUCGUGUCGUGAGAUGUUGGGUUAAGUCCCGCAACGAGCGCAACCCUUGUUCACUGUUGCCAGCACGUUAUGGUGGGGACUCAGUGGAGACCGCCGGGGUCAACUCGGAGGAAGGUGGGGAUGACGUCAAGUCAUCAUGCCCCUUAUGUCCAGGGCUUCACGCAUGCUACAAUGGCUGGUACAGAGAGUGGCGAGCCUGUGAGGGUGAGCGAAUCUCGGAAAGCCGGUCUCAGUUCGGAUUGGGGUCUGCAACUCGACCUCAUGAAGUCGGAGUCGCUAGUAAUCGCAGAUCAGCAACGCUGCGGGACCUCUGAUCGCGGGGC
rnacentral:rRNA from 1 species